rnacentral:lncRNA from 1 species
UGGCUGAGCCGGGACACUGUCACAGCCCGGGUAUGCGCAAGUUCCGGGCAGCGCUGACACACCAGCCGCCUGCCACCUCAGCCCCCUCUGGAUUUUGGGUGCUGACAAUCUCGGGAGGGAGGCCAGUGACCUGAGGGCAGCUCAGUGUGAGCCUGCAGGUGUCCCUCGGCAGGAACAGCCUGGGCGCAGUGGACCAUGGAUGACAUGUUGAUGGUGGCAAGAGGCAGACAGCCUGCUGGGCAGAAAGGGGUGGGUCCUCAGUGAAGUCCCAUCUUCAAGCCAGGGAUGGCCUGAAGCCUGGGGGCUGGGCUGUCAGCUCCUGGUGGAAUCUGAGGCUGCCGGGAGUGAGAACUUAAGGUGCUUUCUCCAGGCCCGGCCAUGGCCACCCAUGGACCAAUCAGCAAGUACUUCCUCCCUUCUAAGCCUAUAAGCCCAACCCCCCCCCCCACCCCACCCCCCCCCCCCCCCCCCCAAAACCAAAAAAAAAAAAAAAAAAAA